CAGGAGACGGGGAACGGCUGUGAGCAGGAGCCGGACGAGAGGCCAAACCAGACCCUCUUACAGACCAGAAACGAGGAUUACUUCAGAACGAGGACUCUUUGACCAGGAACAGGAACUCACUGGAAGCGUAGAACCAUCUGGCAGCGCUAUCAGGAUCCGGCUUCUAUAAAAACGCUCCUCCUGAUGAAUAGAUGAGCUCCAGCUGGCCGCUCCUGUCCGACACGCCCUGCAGGAGAGAGGGUAGGAGACAACACACAUUCACAGCACCGCUUCGUGGACAUGACACCUUCGAGCGCAUG